GCGUUGGUAGUGCAACGGUUAAGCAUGCGCUCUCGGAAAGAGUGAGAUCUGGGUUCGAGUCCCAGUUCACGGA